rnacentral:tRNA from 1 species
GACGCAGUAGUACAGCGGUAGUACGCUACUGGCAGACAUCCCGGCGCGUCGAAGUGUCUGCCUGUGGAGGUCGGAGGUUCUAAUCCUCCCUGCGUCG